rnacentral:rRNA from 1 species
CCUACGGGAGGCAGCAGUGGGGGAUAUUGCACAAUGGGGGGAACCCUGAUGCAGCGACGCCGCGUGGGUGAAGGAGUAUUUCGGUAUGUAAAGCCCUAUCGGCAGGGAAGAAAUUGGACGGUACCUUACUAAGAAGCCCCGGCUAACUACGUGCCAGCAGCCGCGGUAAUACGUAGGGGGCAAGCGUUAUCCGGAUUCACUGGGGGUAAAGGGAGCGUAGACGGCCAUGCAAGCCAGGGGUGAAAGCCCGGGGCCCAACCCCGGGACUGCCCUUGGAACUGGAUGGCUGGAGUGCGGGAGGGGCAGGCGGAAUGCGUGGUGUAGCGGUGAAAUGCGUAGAUAUCAGGAGGAACACCGGCGGCGAAGGCGGCCUGCUGGACCGCGACUGACGUUGAGGCUCGAAAGCGUGGGGAGCGAACAGGAUUAGAUACCCCAGUAGUC